rnacentral:rRNA from 1 species
UGGGGAAUCUUCGGCAAUGGGCGAAAGCCUGACCGAGCCAUGCCGCGUGAGUGACGAAGGCCUUAGGGUCGUAAAGCUCUUUCGCCAGGGAUGAUAAUGACAGUACCUGGUAAAGAAACCCCGGCUAACUCCGUGCCAGCAGCCGCGGUAAUACGGAGGGGGUUAGCGUUGUUCGGAAUUACUGGGCGUAAAGCGCGCGUAGGCGGAUUAGAAAGUUAGAGGUGAAAUCCCGGGGCUCAACCCCGGAACUGCCUUUAAAACUCCUAGUCUUGAGUUCGAGAGAGGUGAGUGGAAUUCCGAGUGUAGAGGUGAAAUUCGUAGAUAUUGGGAAGAACACCGAUGGCGAAGGCAGCCAUCUGGCCCGGGAUUGACGCUGAGGCGCGAAAGCGUGGGGAGCAAACAGGAUUAGAUACCCCCGUAGUCC